rnacentral:rRNA from 1 species
AGCGAACGCUGGCGGCAUGCCUAACACAUGCAAGUCGAGCGCUCCCAGCAAUGGGGGAGCGGCGGACGGGUGAGUAACGCGUAGGAACGUAUCCUGAGGUGGGGGAUAACCCUGGGAAACUAGGGCUAAUACCGCAUGAUGGCGAGAGCCCAAAGAUUUAUCGCCUUGGGAGCGGCCUGCGUCUGAUUAGCUUGUUGGUGGGGUAACGGCCUACCAAGGCGAUGAUCAGUAGCUGGUCUGAGAGGAUGAUCAGCCACACUGGGACUGAGACACGGCCCAGACUCCUACGGGAGGCAGCAGUGGGGAAUAUUGGACAAUGGGCGAAAGCCUGAUCCAGCAAUGCCGCGUGGAUGAAGAAGGUCUUCGGAUUGUAAACCUCUUUCAGUUGGGACGAAGCCUCUGCGGCUAAUACCCGUACGAGGUGACGGUACCUUCACAAGAAGCCCCGGCUAACUACGUGCCAGCAGCCGCGGUAAAGC